rnacentral:sRNA from 1 species
UUUGUUCCCUGCAGCAUUUCCCUUUUGCUUCUUAGAGUUGUCCAGACCUCCCAAAGCUUCUUCAGCUAUCUGUUGGGAAUGUGUUUCUCCAGGAAGUUUUCCCAGCGAUAUCAUAGCUGCUGAGGCUACACAUUCAACAAUUUCUUGCUUUGCCAUCAACACUUUGCCAGCCACCAUCCUGCCAUCUAAAAAUGUGAAUAGAAAGUAUUUUUCCUGAAGAACACAUCGUCAAUAAAUCACCUGCACCCAAAUCUCCAUCUCAGGCGCUACUUCUGGCAAGGCAUAUCAUGAGGCUAGUGAAGCACCUACAAGAAACUUAUAACUCAAGGUUGUAAAAAUGGCAUGGUGACUCUUACAAUCAUAUCACAGUGGGCCUCUCCAACAAUUUAAACCUCAUGACCUAGGUGAAAGCUGUAAAAGGAUCCACAUUAAUUCUUCAGAGGCAGGGCUAAGACUUUCAAGACUGAAAAGAGACUAGCAUAAGGAGACUUAACAGGAACCCAGUCAAGGCCAUUCAUGGCCAUGGGACCACGCAUAAAUGGAGAACGAGUAAAUUUU